rnacentral:lncRNA from 1 species
AAAUUAUAAACAGGGAAAUGUGAAUGGGGAAGACAUUUCUAUCGCUCAGUGUACAUUUUAAUGCCAUAUUACGAGUAUAUUUUUCUUGGAGAACUAAACAGUGCGUUUGCGACCGCACAUGUGCACUGACCCACUACGUCACGGACGCCAUGUUUACUUUGGAGAACGUGCGUGCUGAAAAGGUGCUGCUGUCUAAGGAAUGGAAAGAAAAGGAAAGCAUUCUUGCAAAGUGAACAAUAACUGUACUUUACCUACGACUUCCCGCAACUGUUUGAG